ensembl:snRNA U5 U5 spliceosomal RNA
AUACUCCUGUUUCUCUUCAGAUCGUAUAAAUCUUUCGCCUUUUACUAAAGAUUUCCGUGGAGAGAAACAAUUGUGAGUUUUUAUCUCAAUUUUUUGAGGCCUUGCUUUAGCAAGGGCU